rnacentral:rRNA from 1 species
GACGAACGCUGGCGGCGUGCCUAAUACAUGCAAGUCGAGCGCUGAAGCGUGGUACUUGUACCUACUGCAUUAGCAGCGAACGGGUGAGUAACGCGUGGGUAACCUGCCUUUGAGCGGGGGACAACUUUUGGAAACGAAUGCUAAUACCGCAUAAAAUCUUUAAACACAAGUUUCAAGUGUGAAAGAUGCAUUUGCAUUACCCAAUGAUGAUAUCGCGUCGUAUUAGCCAGGUGGUGAGGUAAAGGCUCACCAAGGCGAUGAUACAUAGCCGACCUGAGAGGGUGGUCGGCCAACAUGGGACUGGGAAACGGCCCAAGACUCCUCGGGGAGGAGCAGGAAGGAAUCUUUGGGCAAGGGGGGAAGGCUGAACGGAGAACGGCGGGUGGGUGGAGGAGGUUUUCCGAUCGUAAAAACCUGUUGGUAGGGAAGAAAGUAAGUGAGAAGGGAAUACGCACCAAGUGACGGUAACUAAUCAGAAAGGCACGGCUAACUACGUG